GUCACUCAGCGCCACCUCCUUGGGUCACUCAGUGCCACCUCCAUGGGUCAGUCAGUGCCACCUCCAUGGGUCACUCAGUGCCACCUCCAUGGGACACCCGGUGUCACCUCCAUGGGUCACUCAGUGCCACCUCCAUGGGACACCCGGUGCCACCUCCAUGGGUCACUCAGUGCCACCCCCAUGUGACACUCGGUGCCACCUCCAUAGGACACUCAGUGCCACCUCCAAGGGUCACUCACUGCCACCUCCAAGGGUCACUCACUGCCACCUCCAUGGGUCACUCGGUGCCACCUCCACAGGACACCCGGUGCCACCACCAUGGGUCACUCAGUGCCACCUCCAUGAGGUUACCCAGUGCCACCUCCAUGGGUCACUCAGUGCCACCUAGAUGAGGUCACUUGGUGUCACCUUCAUGGGUGACUCAGUGCCACCUCCAUGGGACACCCGCUGCCACCUCUAUGGGAGACUCAGCGCCACCUCCUUGGGUCACUCAGCGCCCCCUCCAUGGGUAACUCAGUGCCCCCUCCAUGGGUCACUCAUUGCCACCUCCAUGCAGUCACUCGGUGCCACCUCCAUGGGGUCCCUCAGUGCCACCUCCAUGGGUCAUUCGCUGCCACCUCCAUGGGUCACUCGGUGCCACCUCCAUGGGUCAGCCGGUGCCACCUCCAUGAGAUCACUCGGUGCCACCUCCAUCGGACAUCCGGUGCCACCUCCAUGGGUCACUCAGUGCCACCUCCAUGGGUCACUCAGUGCCACCUCCAUGAGGUCACUCAGUGCCACCUCCAUGGGUCACUUGGUGUCACCUUCAUGGGUGACUCAGUGCCACCUCUGUUAUUUCACUCACUGCCACCUCCAUGGGUCACUCAUUGCCACCUCCAUGGGCUAGCCGGUGCCACCUCCAUGGGUCAAUCAAUGCCACCUCCAUGAGGUUGCUGUAUGCCACAUCCAUGGGUCCCUCAGUUCCAGCUCCAUGGGUCACUCACGGCCACCUCCAUGGGUCACUCAGUGCCACCACCAUGGGUCACUCGGUGCCACCUCCAUGAGGUCCCUCAGUGCCACCUCCAUGGGGACACUGGGUGCCACCUCCAUGGGUCCCUGAAUUCCACUUCCAUGGGUCGCUCAGUGCCACCUCCAUAUUGUCACUCGCUGCCACCUGUAUG
rnacentral:lncRNA from 1 species